UGGGGAAUAUUGGACAAUGGGGCGCAAGCCUGAUCCAGCCAUACCGCGUGGGUGAAGAAGGCCUUCGGGUUGUAAAGCCCUUUUGUUGGGAAAGAAAUCCAGCUGGUUAAUACCCGGUUGGGAUGACGGUACCCAAAGAAUAAGCACCGGCUAACUUCGUGCCAGCAGCCGCGGUAAUACGAAGGGUGCAAGCGUUACUCGGAAUUACUGGGCGUAAAGCGUGCGUAGGUGGUCGUUUAAGUCUGUUGUGAAAGCCCUGGGCUCAACCUGGGAACUGCAGUGGAAACUGGACGACUAGAGUGUGGUAGAGGGUAGCGGAAUUCCUGGUGUAGCAGUGAAAUGCGUAGAGAUCAGGAGGAACAUCCAUGGCGAAGGCAGCUACCUGGACCAACACUGACACUGAGGCACGAAAGCGUGGGGAGCAAACAGGAUUAGAUACCCUGGUAGUCCACGCCCUAAACGAUGCGAACUGGAUGUUGGGUGCAAUUUGGCACGCAGUAUCGAAGCUAACGCGUUAAGUUCGCCGCCUGGGGAGUACGGUCGCAAGACUGAAACUCAAA
rnacentral:rRNA from 1 species